UACGUAGGGUGCAAGCGUUGUCCGGAAUUAUUGGGCGUAAAGAGCUCGUAGGCGGUCUGUGGCGUCGGCUGUGAAAACCCGAGGCUCAACCUCGGGCCUGCAGCCGAUACGGGCAGACUAGAGUUCGGCAGGGGAGACUGGAAUUCCUGGUGUAGCGGUGAAAUGCGCAGAUAUCAGGAGGAACACCGGUGGCGAAGGCGGGUCUCUGGGCCGAUACUGACGCUGAGGAGCGAAAGCGUGGGGAGCAAACAGG
rnacentral:rRNA from 1 species